rfam:Caenorhabditis remanei strain PB4641 contig1327.1, whole genome shotgun sequence.
UAUAUAGGCUCACUUGAAUGAAGAAUCCACUAUUCCAUCCCGUUUAUCUUUAUCCAUCUUGAUUAAAAAUGCAUCUAAAAAGUCGUCAGCAUCCUCCCCAAUGGCA